rnacentral:rRNA from 1 species
GUACGGAAGGCAGCAGUGGGGAAUAUUGGGCAAUGGGCGCAAGCCUGACCCAGCCAUGCCGCGUGAGUGAUGAAGGCCUUCGGGUCGUAAAGCUCUGUGGGGAGGGAAGAAACCGGACGUGGAUAAUACCCACGGCUCUUGACGGUACCUCCUUAGCAAGCACCGGCUAACUCCGUGCCAGCAGCCGCGGUAAUACGGAGGGUGCAAACGUUGCUCGGAAUCAUUGGGCGUAAAGCGCACGUAGGCGGCCUGUUAAGUCGGGUGUGAAAGCCCUGGGCUCAACCCAGGAAGUGCACUCGAAACUGGCGGGCUUGAAUAUGGAAGAGGGUCGCGGAAUUCCCGGUGUAGAGGUGAAAUUCGUAGAUAUCGGGAGGAACACCAGUGGCGAAGGCGGCGACCUGGGCCAAUAUUGACGCUGAGGUGCGAAAGCGUGGGGAGCAAACAGGAUUAGAUACCCGUGUAGUCCA